rnacentral:rRNA from 1 species
GGAACCUUUUGUCGGUCCUAGAAACACCGAUGAAUAAGGGGUGGGCAAGUUCUGGUGUCAGCCGCCGCGGUAAAACCAGCACCUCAAGUGGUCAGGAUGAUUAUUGGGCCUAAAGCAUCCGUAGCCGGCUCUGUAAGUUUUCGGUUAAAUCUGUACGCUCAACGUACAGGCUGCCGGGAAUACUGCAGAGCUAGGUAGUGGGAGAGGUAGACGGUACUCGGUAGGAAGGGGUAAAAUCCUUUGAUCUAUUGAUGACCACCUGUGGCGAAGGCGGUCUACCAGAACACGUACGACGGUGAGGGAUGAAAGCUGGGGGAGCAAACCGGAUUAGAUACCCGGGUAGUCCCAGCUGUAAACUAUGCAAACUCAGUGAUGCAUUGGCUUGUGGCCAAUGCAGUGCUGCAGGGAAGCCGUUAAGUUUGCCGCCUGGGAAGUACGUACGCAAGUAUGAAACUCAAAGGAAUUGGCGGGGGAGCACCACAAGGGGUGAAGCCUGCGGUUCAAUUGGAUUCAACGCCGGA